UACAGAGGUCCCAAGCGUUGUUCGGAUUCAUUGGGCGUAAAGGGUGCGUAGGUGGCGCCGUAAGUCGGGUGUGAAAUUUCGGAGCUUAACUCCGAAACUGCAUUCGAUACUGCGGUGCUUGAGGACUGGAGAGGAGACUGGAAUUCAUGGUGUAGCAGUGAAAUGCGUAGAGAUCAUGAGGAAGACCAGUGGCGAAGGCGGGUCUCUGGGCCGAUACUGACACUGAGGAGCGAAAGCGUGGGGAGCGAACAGG
rnacentral:rRNA from 1 species